GAAAUGCGAUAAGUAAUGUGAAUUGCAGAAUUCAGUGAAUCAUCGAAUCUUUGAACGCACAUUGCGCCCUCUGGUAUUCCGGGGGGCAUGCCUGUUCGAGCGUCAUUACAACCCUCAAGCUCUGCUUGGUAUUGGGCGUCACCAGUUCUGGUGUGCCUUAAAAUCAGUGGCGGUGCCAUUCGGCUUCAAGCGUAGUAAUUUCUCUCGCUCUGGAGACCGGGUGCGUGCUUGCCAGCAACCCCCAAUUUUAUCAAAGGUUGACCUCGGAUCAGGUAGGGAUACCCGCUGAACUUAA
rnacentral:misc_RNA from 1 species